rnacentral:rRNA from 1 species
GACGUGAGGGCGCGAGCGUGUCCGGAUUUAUUGGGCGUAAAGAGCUCGUAGGGCGGCUUGUCGGCGUCGACCUGUGAAAUCCCGCGGCUCAACUGCGGGUCUGCAGUCGAUACGGGCAGGCUAGAGUUCGGUAGGGGAGACUGGAAUUCCUGGUGUAGCGGUGAAAUGCGCAGAUAUCAGGAGGAACACCGAUGGCGAAGGCAGGUCUCUGGGCCGAUACUGACGCUGAGGAGCGAAAGCUAGGGGAGCGAACGGG